UACGAAGGGGGCUAGCGUUGCUCGGAAUCACUGGGCGUAAAGGGCGCGUAGGCGGCGUUUUUAAGUCGGGGGUGAAAGCCCAGAGCUCAACUCUGGAACUGCCUUCGAAACUAGAGGACUUGGGUACGGGAGAGGUGAGUGGAAUUCCGAGUGUAGAGGUGAAAUUCGUAGAUAUUCGGAAGAACACCAGUGGCGAAGGCGGCUCACUGGCCCGUUACCGACGCUCAGGCGCGACAGCGUGGGGAGCAAACAGGG
rnacentral:rRNA from 1 species